UACGAAGGGGGCUAGCGUUGCUCGGAAUGACUGGGCGUAAAGGGCGCGUAGGCGGCUUGCACAGUCAGGCGUGAAAUUCCUGGGCUCAACCUGGGGACUGCGCUUGAGACGUGUGGGCUUGAGUGGGGAAGAGGGUCGUGGAAUUCCCAGUGUAGAGGUGAAAUUCGUAGAUAUCUGGAGGAACACCGGUGGCGAAGGCGGCAUCCUGGACCGGCAUUGACGCUGAGGCGCGAAAGCCAGGGGAGCAAACGGG
rnacentral:rRNA from 1 species